rnacentral:miRNA from 14 species
AGUGUCAGAGGGGUAAACAAUG